rfam:Sphaerobolus stellatus SS14 unplaced genomic scaffold SPHSTscaffold_506, whole genome shotgun sequence.
GUGCAUGUAGUUUAGUGGUAUAACAUUCGCUUUGCAUCCAUAGCUUGAGAAAGGCUCGGUGUUCGAUCCGCCGCUUGUCCA